rnacentral:rRNA from 1 species
UACGGAGGGGGCUAGCGUUGUUCGGAAUUACUGGGCGUAAAGCGCACGUAGGCGGCUUUGUAAGUUAGAGGUGAAAGCCCGGGGCUCAACUCCGGAAUUGCCUUUAAGACUGCAUCGCUAGAAUUGUGGAGAGGUAAGUGGAAUUCCGAGUGUAGAGGUGAAAUGCGUAGAGAUCGGGAGGAACACCCGUGGCGAAGGCGGCCGGCUGGGGGUUACCUGACGCUGAGGCGCGAAAGCGUGGGGAGCGAACCGG